rnacentral:rRNA from 1 species
GAUGGACGCUGGCGGCGUGCCUAAUACAUGCAAGUCGAGCGAACAGACGAGGAGCUUGCUCCUCUGACGUUAGCGGCGGACGGGUGAGUAACACGUGGAUAACCUACCUAUAAGACUGGGAUAACUUCGGGAAACCGGAGCUAAUACCGGAUAAUAUAUUGAACCGCAUGGUUCAAUAGUGAAAGACGGUUUUGCUGUCACUUAUAGAUGGAUCCGCGCCGCAUUAGCUAGUUGGUAAGGUAACGGCUUACCAAGGCAACGAUGCGUAGCCGACCUGAGAGGGUGAUCGGCCACACUGGAACUGAGACACGGUCCAGACUCCUACGGGAGGCAGCAGUAGGGAAUCUUCCGCAAUGGGCGAAAGCCUGACGGAGCAACGCCGCGUGAGUGAUGAAGGUCUUCGGAUCGUAAAACUCUGUUAUUAGGGAAGAACAAAUGUGUAAGUAACUAUGCACGUCUUGACGGCACCUAAUCAGAAAGCCACGGCUAACUACGUG